UACGGAGGGGCUAGCGUUGUUCGGAAUUACUGGGCGUAAAGCGCGCGUAGGCGGACCUGCAAGUCGGGGGUGAAAGCCCGAGGCUCAACCUCGGAACUGCCUUCGAUACUGCGGGUCUCGAGUCCGGGAGAGGUGAGUGGAAUUCCUAGUGUAGAGGUGAAAUUCGUAGAUAUUAGGAAGAACACCAGUGGACGAAGGCGGCUCACUGGCCCGGUACUGACGCUGAGGCGACGAAAGCGUGGGGAGCAAACAGG
rnacentral:rRNA from 1 species